GCAGCAUGCAUGUUCC
rnacentral:miRNA from 1 species